rnacentral:rRNA from 1 species
GAUGAACGCUGGCGGCGUGCCUAAUACCUGCAAGUCGAGCGAACAGACGAGGAGCUUGCUCCUCUGACGUUAGCGGCGGACGGGUGAGUAACACGUGGAUAACCUACCUAUAAGACUGGGAUAACUUCGGGAAACCGGAGCUAAUACCGGAUAAUAUAUUGAACCGCAUGGUUCAAUAGUGAAAGACGGUUUUGCUGUCACUUAUAGAUGGAUCCGCGCCGCAUUAGCUAGUUGGUAAGGUAACGGCUUACCAAGGCAACGAUGCGUAGCCGACCUGAGAGGGUGAUCGGCCACACUGGAACUGAGACACGGUCCAGACUCCUACGGGAGGCAGCAGUAGGGAAUCUUCCGCAAUGGGCGAAAGCUUGACGGAGCAACGCCGCGUGAGUGAUGAAGGUCUUCGGAUCGUAAAACUCUGUUAUUAGGGAAGAACAAAUGUGUAAGUAACUAUGCACGUCUUGACGGUACCUAAUCAGAAAGCCACGGCUAACUACGUG